rnacentral:lncRNA from 1 species
CCCUGGCGUGAAGGUGGCACUGUGACUAGCUCUUGCCGAUGGAAUGGGAGGAGUCAGUUAGAAAUUUUCAUAUGGUCAAAAUACCCAUGGAAUAUAUGAGUGGCAGCAGUAAACAAUCCUUGAAGUUCUUGCUUGUUUAACUUGACUGUUGGUGAUGCCCAAUGAGGCCCUGUCUGCUCCAAGCAAAUUACAUAAAAAAGAUGUGAAUAAAAACUCAUCAAAUACUAACAGAGACUGUGUCUAAGAUGCCAAUUGAAGACUGGAACAGCCAUAUGAGUGUGGGGUAUUCCUGGAAACCUGUUCUAGUAGGCACUGGAGAAGACACAGGAACCUCUCAAUACAGAAUAGACACACUUUGCACUCAGUAAUAAUGCACUAAUUGACGAAUAUAUUGACGGAGUGUUGGUUUGCUUCACAAUCUGCUGGUAAACAUAUUCAUUUUUGGGUGAAUUUCAGGCCUUAAA